ensembl:lncRNA
GGACAUUACAGUAGCUACAGUAUUCCAGGAUAUUUCCAGUUUUCCAUGGCAAGAGAAGAGAGAUCGAAAUCUCAAAUCAGCUAAUAAGCGCUUCACCUUGAAAGUGACACGUCACAUCACUUCUGCACACAACCAAUUGCUCAGAACUAGACACAUGGCCUGGCCUAACGCCAAAGGCCGGGAACACUGAUCCUCCCGUAAGCUUGGGAAGGAGACGACUGGAACUGGGCGAGCUCUAAUAAUUCUGUACCCUAGCUGGAGAGGGGGCUGCUUUUUGGACCUUGCUCUUCCGAGGGAAGCUCUUGGAGCUCUCUUUGUGCCUAUGAGAGUGGUACCCCUUUGUGGUAGGGGACAGAGGUGGUGUCUGGAAUGUGGAGGGGGAGCUGAAACAAAGGGGAGAGGCAUGCUACAAAUUAAAUAUUAGCCAGAUAAUCUAGAUCCCAAGUAUUUUCUGAGUUUGUUGUCUGUAUCCCCCAAACAUGAAUGAAGUCUUUGUCUUAGCUAAGAUUCGGGGAAACUCAACAAGUAUGGCUCAUCCUUGCCUGUGCCAGACUAUACAGAAGGUGAUAUUAGGAGCAGGGGAGGGCCAAAUAUUCCAGACAAGGUUGGCACCUCCAGUAAGGAGAGUCUCAUUCUUAUAUCAGUCUUGGAGAUUCCAGUUUUUAUUUUGAUUUAAAUUGGCGAGCUUUCCUUAAGAAACAAUAUAAUCAACAUAUAGAUUCUCCCAUCGAAAUAAGCACUGUUUUUAAAGCAUUUACAUCACUAUAUCCCACAUAGCAUCUAGCAAAGUGUCUCACCAUAAGAAGCUCUUAAACACCGGUUAAUCAAUAAAUGAAAGACUGAACAAAAGGAAUGAGAAUGAUCACCUAUCUACCGCACCCCCUCGUUCUGUAAGCCCCAAGGUGGAUACUGCGGACUGGGGAGACUCCAGACCUGAUUCGGUUACUGUAGAAACACUCAGGACAGGCCAAAAGUGUGGGAUCAUGUUUGCUCAAACUGCUCCUAUCUUCGGAUUGUGGAAUUUGCCGCUCAUUCUAACAACUAUCUAUCCACCAAGUCCUGUCCUGCACUAAUACCCACUUGACCAGUUUCUCGAUCAUGCAUCAAGAUGAUUCCAAUGUCCAUCCCUCCUUUUCUGUUCCCAACAUCACUGGCUCUUGUCAAUUCAUAGACUAUUGCAGCUGCCCAAGUGCCUGGGACAAUAUCAUUUCAAGAAGAUACUGAAGGCUUGGAAGACUGGGUUGAGAUCAGUACCAUUUUAGACAUGAAUUUCAAGAACAUUCAAGAGGAGAGCUCCAACAGGCAGUUGGAAGUGCAGAACAGGAGACUGGGGGAGUCAAGGAUGGAAACACAUGUUUGGGGAUUUUCGGCUUUGACUGGUAUUUGUAGCUGUGGAAAUCAAGAAAAGAAUGGGAAGAAGAUGAUGUGUGUGAAAGCACUUUGUAUAAUAUUGGGUGUUGUUUUUAUAAUUACCAUUUUUAAUGGGUCCAAGAAAGAACUUAGGGGGUAGAAAAGGAAAAGAGGCCAGAAGUAUUCAGAGAAGGAGGUAAGGAGCAGGAGGAGAACCAGGAGGGAGUGGCAAUUGUGGGGCUGGGGUGGCAAAGUGCUAAAUGCUUCAGAGCAGCAGGAGAUAAUGAGGGUGAUCAGGAAGUCAGGGUUGUCCAAGAGGAGACAUUUCCAUAGGUAGACUGGCCACCAUCUUCUCCUGUGCUCAAAUUCCCAUCCCUACCCCAUGCUCCACCCUGCUCCCUGCUCAUGCUCAGCGCCCUCUCCCCAUCCGGUUCUCCACAGCAGCUCUUAACACUGGGCUCCAGUGGGUUCACUGGAAUCCUUUAUCCCAUUAGCAACGAAUUCAACCUUGUCAAAGUGUGGUCCAGAGACUCUUUCAGUGGGUCCAUGAGGUCAAAACUAUUUUUCAAAUACUAAGACACGGGGCAGGCUCCGUGGCCGAGUGGUUAAGUUCGUGCGCUCUGCUGCGGCAGCCCAGGGUUCGGAUCCUGGGUGCGGACACGGCACCGCUCGUCAGGCCACGUUGAGGCGGCGUCCCACAUCCCACAACUAGAAGGACCUGCAACUAAGAUAUACAAUUAUGUCUGGGGGGUUUGGGAAAUAAAGCAGAAAAAAAAAAAAAAAGAUUGGCAACAGUUGUUAGCCCAGGUGCCAAUCCUUAAAAAAAAAAAAAGGAAGAUUGGCAAUAGUUGCUAGCCCAGGUGCCAAUCUUUA